rnacentral:tRNA from 1 species
GGGCGAAUAGUAUAACCUGGAUAUAAAAUCCAGAAAGUACACAGCCCUGCGGAGGCUGUAAUCAGGGUUCAAAUCCCUGUUCGCUCA